UUUAUUUCUGAAAGGCCCCAAUAAGCUGCUGAGGAUUAUAAUAGUUAAAAUUUAAGACGUUUGCCUGCUUUUGGUUUGCUUGUUCGAAAAGGUUAAGGGUUUUGGGAAUCGGGUGUCGUUGACCAUUGUAAUGUAACCUAAAUGGAGUGUUGGUCACUUACAUGCCACGAUACCCAGAAUAGGGUACCGCACGCCGAAUUAGAGAACAAGCCGACCAGAUUGCAGCCAUACUGAAGCUAACCGCCUCCAAUGGGAAGUCCGAAAAGCACUGUUGGAUCUCAGGAACUAACAGUGGGAACAAAAACUCUAGUCCCUUAACACAGAGGACCAAUUGACGUGGAAAAUGGCCAAAGCCCUGAGAAGCGACAGAGCCCACUACCAUUGAUUCAUAGCACGAACAACGGGAUCGUCUUAACCGAAGAGGACAAAGCCGCCGCCUUCACUCACAGUCUGGAGAUCCAGGGCCAGAUGAACAUCGGUCCUGAUGCAGACGACGAACACAUGGACCUCAUCGAAGAAACCGUCGAAGAUCUCCGUGAGGAAGAACCCUGACGACACGAAGUGAUCAGACCAAUUCCGACCAAGGCCGAGCAAUCAUCCAAAACCUUAAGCCGAGGAUUCCGAAAAAAGCACUGAAAAACCUCUCCGACGAGGUCAUCAUCGCCUUGGUAGGUAUUAUAAAUGUUAUGUUCAAAUUUCGUUUUUUUUUCCAGGUAGAUGGAAACAGGCCAAUGUCAUCUUCAAUCCGAAACCCGGAAAAAAUCAAUCCUUUCCCCAAAGUCAUCGUUCCAUCCGUGUUCUAUCGUCGCUGGGGAAAAUCGCUGGAAGGGUCAUAGGGAGACGGCUUGCCGAGAUCGUGACCGAAAUAGGCAUUCUUCCCGACAAGUAAGUAGUUCUCGGCUUUGGACACCACCAUUUCACCCCCGACCAACUUCUUCGGGUAGUAGAAUUCGCAGCAAAGUCAUUUAAAUGGAAGCAAUUCACAGGCGCAGUGUUUCUUGAUGUAGCCAAACCUUUCGACAGUGUCUGGCAUGAAGGACUUCUUUACAAGCUCCACCUUGCCCUCACGUUUCGUGCCCACAUAGGCCACGCUCUAUCAGCAGAAAAUCCAAUAAGCGCUGGAGUCUGUCAGGGAUCAGCACACUCUUUCCUGCUGUAUGCGAUUUUCACCCCCCGAACUAGUCUCGCGAGCUAUACAGACCACACCGCCAUCCUUGUGCGCACCAGAUCGGCGCACAAUGUGACCAACUACUUACAGGUUGUUCUGUUGGCUCAUCACAAUCAAUUCCGAUAAAAGCUGUUCAGAUAGAUCAUUUCCUGGGAGGACAAAACAAAAUAUCUAGAUGUCUUCAUUCACACAAAGCUCAGCUAUAUUCCUCAGAUUGACUUCAUUGUAGCCAAGAGGAACGGAAUCAAAGGCGUUCUGGCGCCAUUAAUCGGCAAAAUGUAGAUUAAGAACAAAGUGCUUCUCUAUCAAAUAUUCAUUGGCCCCACCAUGUCUUAUGCCUCAGUAGCCUGGAGCUACUAGCCUUCCAAAAUUCAUUUUCGUCCUCCUGACAAAAAUUCUCCAACAAGCUCUCAGGGCUCUCUGGUUAGUUAGGAACAAGCAGAUUCUUCUGGAGGCCAACAUUCCGAAGUUAAAACAAUUUCUGCACGAAACUGCACUUCGCACCUUCAAGAAAGCUGAAGAACACCCCAAUCCCUUGGUCUGAGAAGCCGUUGACUACGAGUUCGUCGAGGAAGCCUCCGAAGACGCAAGCGCUACUUGACGACAAAAUCGGUGUGUGAUCCACCCACUGCUCCCACCAACCGGCCAUCCCCGGCUACACCUUAAAGGCAGGUAAGUAUAUCUAAUGUCAGCGCAUAGCGCACAUUUUUUCAGUUUGAGAUCUUUGCACCGACCAUCAGAGAAAGAUCGUAAGAUUAUUACCUAUGAUGGGGGGAAACUUCCUAGGCGAAUCAAUAGCUCAACUGAACUGCAGUGGCACAGCAGUUCUGUGAUCACUCAGAAGUCAGGACCCAGGUGAAGAGGACAACAAAGUUCUGGUACCUGCGCACAAGAUGGAUACCGAGCUCUUGCAUUACAGUUCCAUGAGUUUCAGAACCAUUGUUUCCACGGGACUACGGCGACAAUGUUCGCUGACACCGGUACGGAUUCGCUUCAAAUAAAGACAAUGGCCGAAAGUUAUAUUGAUUACUCCAUUGACAAG